rnacentral:rRNA from 1 species
GAUGAACGCUGGCGGCGUGCUUAACACAUGCAAGUCGAACGGAAAGGCCCCAGCUUGCUGGGGUACUCGAGUGGCGAACGGGUGAGUAACACGUGGGUGAUCUGCCCUGCACUUUGGGAUAAGCUUGGGAAACUGGGUCUAAUACCGAAUAUGACCACUUCUUGGAUGUUGUGGUGGAAAGCUUUUGCGGUGUGGGAUGAGCCUGCGGCCUAUCAGCUUGUUGGUGGGGUAAUGGCCUACCAAGGCGGCGACGGGUAUCCGGCCUGAGAGGGUGUACGGACACAUUGGGACUGAGAUACGGCCCAGACUCCUACGGGAGGCAGCAGUGGGGAAUAUUGCACAAUGGGCGCAAGCCUGAUGCAGCGACGCCGCGUGGGGGAUGAAGGCCUUCGGGUUGUAAACUCCUUUCGCUAUCGACGAAGCCACUUGUGGUGACGGUAGGUAGAUAAGAAGCACCGGCUAACUACGUACCAGCAGCCGCCGUAA